rnacentral:rRNA from 1 species
GAUGAACGCUGGCGGCGUGCCUAAUACAUGCAAGUCGAGCGAACGGACGAGAAGCUUGCUUCUCUGAUGUUAGCGGCGGACGGGUGAGUAACACGUGGAUAACCUACCUAUAAGACUGGGAUAACUUCGGGAAACCGGAGCUAAUACCGGAUAAUAUUUUGAACCGCAUGGUUCAAAAGUGAAAGACGGUCUUGCUGUCACUUAUAGAUGGAUCCGCGCUGCAUUAGCUAGUUGGUAAGGUAACGGCUUACCAAGGCAACGAUGCAUAGCCGACCUGAGAGGGUGAUCGGCCACACUGGAACUGAGACACGGUCCAGACUCCUACGGGAGGCAGCAGUAGGGAAUCUUCCGCAAUGGGCGAAAGCCUGACGGAGCAACGCCGCGUGAGUGAUGAAGGUCUUCGGAUCGUAAAACUCUGCUAUUAGGGAAGAACAUAUGUGUAAGUAACUGUGCACACCUUGACGGUACCUAAUCAGAAAGCCACGGCUAACUACGUG